rnacentral:lncRNA from 1 species
GACCCCGACGGGGAGCAGACCUUCCACGGCUAUAGGAUUCAAAAAAAUCUAUGAAUGUAUUACCAACAACUUUGCCCUAAAUAAAAAUUUCUUUCAUAUUUGCAUAUUUUUUCUUUUGGCAUGAGCUUAUAAUAAGAGGAAAUAACUCCCCCAUACAAAUGAAAUUAAGCACGUUAGGAACAGGAAGAAAACCUCAUCCUAACACGAGCAAAGUAGAAGGCCUGAUUUCUUAAAGAUCGGAUGGGGGGAGAGGCCCUUGCAAUGGCCCUUAUGUGGCCCCACAGUCUUGUUAGGAACAGGAGGAGAACCUUGUCCUAACAUGAGCAAAGUCGAAGGCCCAAUUUCUUAAAGACCGGAUGGGGGGAGAGGCCCUUGCAACGGCCCUUGUGUGCCCACGCAGCCAUGUUAGGAACAGGAGGAGAACCUCAUCCUAACAUGAGCAAAGUCGAAGGUCCGAUUUCUUAAAGAUCGGAUGGGGGG